GCCACCUAGAUGCAUGGGAAUUCAAGCCUUUAAUGAGCACAACAAAUUAAUUCAGCAGCUCACAGAACUUCUCAUUCACUUUAUAGACAGGAAAACGAGCACUUUAGGGUGAUUGUGUUUCAUAAUGAAUUGACGGGCGCCCCUUAUUAUUAUCGUCCCAGUUGUAACCAAGCAGAGCGGCAUCCAGCAGACCUUCGGCGUGCUCCUGCUUUUUUUUGGGAAUCCGGCAGGGAAUAAGUCGGUUUCCCGUGUAAAGGACAAGCGCUGUGUGCCGCGGUCCCACACCGGCAUCGCACAGCGAAAGGCGCCGGCGUCUUCGGAGCGGUUCGGGCUGCUCGCCCUUCGGUAAAGGGCGGACCGGGUGUUACAUCCCGAGCGCUGGAUGGUGCGGAUAACGGGACGGCUUGCUGACAUGGGAAGCACGGGCGAGCGCUUUCGGCAGGGCGAUCGGGAGGAGCGCGUCUCUCAGCCCGAAAUAUGAGUCGCUGGUUGUAGAGACGGAAAAGUAUUUUGGAGUUAGAUGCCAUGGGUCCCGCUCCGCGUCCCCCGUCGCUGCCUCUCCCGGGUCAGUAUGCGGACGUCAAGCCGAACCGACGCUGCUUCGAACCGCAGACUCAGAGUAAAGGUGACAUUUUCCAAGCUGCCAAAUUUGGCCUUCUGGAGGAAUGUAAGCGUAUCGUGUCAGCCGAGGGGCCGGGGCUGCUGGACAGGUACGACGACUGGGGCCACUCGCCAGCUCACUAUGCCUGCCUUGCCGGCAGUGUGGAGGUCAUCAGCUUCUUCUUGGAAGCUGGUGCACCAGUGGACCUCCCCAGCAAGGCGGAGUUGUCCCAGAGACCCAUCCACUGGGCCGCGGCAAACGGACAUGAGGCUGUGGUGCACCUGCUGCUGGAGGCCGGCGUCGCCCCGAACGUGGAGGACCAGAGGGGCUGCACCCCGCUGAUCCUGGCCGCUCAGAAUGGGCACACGCCGCUCUGCUGCUACCUGAUAGUGAGUGGGGCCCAACCCAGUCUGUGUGAUGUGGAGGGGGACAACGCCCUGCACUGGGCGGCCUUCCAAGGACACCGGGAGCUGGUCCAGCUCUUACUCUACUCAGGACUCGACCCCAGGCAGCCCGAUGACUUUGGGCAGACGCCCCUGCACCUGGCUGUACUCAGUGGUGACAUGAAGACCGUGAAGCUGCUUUGUGAGCAGGAGGGUGUCUCUUUGGAGGUGGAGGACGGGAACGGGAGCACACCCCUGCAACUGUCGCGGGGACGCGAGCAUCGCGAUAUAUCCACCUACCUGGAGGGGGCGCUGUUGCAGGCGAGUCGGCGCUUCCCCUGCUUUGACUGGAGCACCUUUGUGUUCGGCCCGCCUGGCAAAUCCAAAGGGCCCGUCCUCUUCCUGUAUGCUUGCCUGCUCCUAUGGGGAUACCCCACCUACUUCUUCAAGAUUGCCUCUGUGUCCUAUAACAAGUUGUGGGAGUUCCACGUCAUCUUCCUGCUCGCCAACAUACUCAUGUGGUUCCUCUUCCUAAAAGCUUCCCUGAUGGAUCCGGGGUUUCUUCCCAGAAACAGUGAGGAAUACGGGAAGGUCAUUAGACAGGCGGUGCUCUCCCAGGACUGGCAGCGGGACAGGAAUCUCUUGCUCCGUCUGUGUCACAGCUGUCACCUGGUGCGGCCACUACGCACCAAGCACUGCCGCGUCACUAACCGCUGCGUGGAGCACUUUGACCACUACUGUCCUUACGUCUACAACACCGUGGGGCGCAGGAACAGGGCUUACUUCUUCGGGUUCCUGAGCGCCAUGAGUGUGAACUGCUUCCUGGGCCUGUACCUCUGUGUGGACUGGUUCUACACCAUGGGCCGCAACCUCUUCAUCGGCAUCGGCUUCAUCUUCAUGGCUGUGAUCGGGGUGAUAUCGGGCAUCAUGGCGGGCAUCUGUCUGUCCAUGGCGGUGCAGAACACCACCACCAAUGAGAGGCUCAACCACCAGAGGUACAGCUACCUGCGGGAAGAGGACGGCCGCAUCUUCACCCCGUUCGACCGCGGCCCCCUGCUCAACCUGCUCGAGUUUUUCCACCUGGUGCCCCCCCUGGGGGAGGACGAGCUUCUCGGGAUGGACCGGCUCAUGGUGAUCUGACCGGUGCUGAACUCACAUCACUGAGGAGCAGAUCCGCCUGAUGGGCUUCCCUGUGUGGGAGACGUGUCUCUGAGCCACAGGACGAAGAAGUGGCCAUGUGGGGCGACGUGGAAGGCCCUCCUGACCAGAGGGGAACUGCAUCCAUCCGACAGCCAUGCAAUACUGGAAGCACAGGAUCAUCUCAGGAAAGCUCACCAGAGAAUUUUAGCCACUUGGACUUUGCAUACCACAAUCAUCAUUUUAUGGGUUAUAUCAACCUCAUGCCGUAUCGCAGACAGCCUUUUUGACACUGUGGUAUCCCGUGUAAUUGGCGUGUUCUGUACUAUUUUGUAAGAGAGUCUCCAGUCUCUCGCCUAAGCUAUGCAGCGUGUCCAUGACUUGUGCGUGGAAAAAUGUGUGCACAUUAAUUAGCCCUCUACUGCUGUAUCUGUCGUGUACUUAAGUCUUCACCAAACUACCAAUGACAAAAUAAAAUGUUGAAAAUGUUCAUAAUCCUUUUGUAAGGGUGUCGAAGUGCUUAUGAUUAGAGGGCCAAUUGAUUAUGGCACAUUUUUGUGUUAUUGCGUCUUAAACCACAACAAUACUGUAUGUAGCUUGUCGAAAAGCGUAUUGUACUUGUCUGUAGUGUGGCGGAUAGCAAUUCUAUUAAACUGCCACAAGAUGUCGCUUGUAGGUCAAAACCGGCUCAGGGUAUCUUUAUCUAUAGGAAUAGCCUACAACAGACCGUUAACUGCAGUGUCCAUUAGCAUCACAUUUAGAAGUCCGAGACAAAUUAGCAAUAAUCAUGAGAACAAAACAAAAAACAGUAAAAUCCCAUGAGUAGGGUUAACCAAGUUCUAAAUAAUUUGCAAUGAGCCCAAAUGUAACAGUAUUGAGAUUUAUGCAACUAUUGACUAUAUCCAGACUCCGUUGUUAGAUGUCCGAACCGUACGAACUGCCUAUAUUUUUAUGUAUAUUUUAUUGUUCUUUUCUUGU